ACGAGAAGACCCCAUGGAGCUUUAAACCCGACAGCACCCACUUAUUUAACACCUUCUUAUCCGCCUGGCCCCUGUCUGCUCGGUUUUGGGUUGGGGUGACCGCGGAGCAUAAAAUAGCCUCCACGAAAGAAGGGAUGAUUCCCUCAUUUUAGAACUACACUUCCAAAGACUAACAAAUUAAUUUUAAGUGAUCCGAUACCCGUAUUCGAUCAACGAACCAAGUUACCCUGGGGAUAACAGCGCAAUCUACCUCAAGAGCCCCUAUCGACAGGUGGGUUUACGACCUCGAUGUUGGAUCAGGGUAUCCCAGUGGUGCAGCAGCUACCAAAGGUUCGUUUGUUCAACGAUUAA
rnacentral:rRNA from 1 species